rnacentral:rRNA from 1 species
UGAUGGCGACCGGCGCACGGGUGAGUAACGCGUAUGCAACUUACCUAUCAGAGGGGGAUAGCCCGGCGAAAGUCGGAUUAAUACCCCAUAAAACAGGGGUCCCGCAUGGGAAUAUUUGUUAAAGAUUCAUCGCUGAUAGAUAGGCAUGCGUUCCAUUAGGCAGUUGGCGGGGUAACGGCCCACCAAACCGACGAUGGAUAGGGGUUCUGAGAGGAAGGUCCCCCACAUUGGUACUGAGACACGGACCAAACUCCUACGGGAGGCAGCAGUGAGGAAUAUUGGUCAAUGGCCGAGAGGCUGAACCAGCCAAGUCGCGUGAAGGAAGAAGGAUCUAUGGUUUGUAAACUUCUUUUAUAGGGGAAUAAAGUGGAGGACGUGUCCUUUUUUGUAUGUACCCUAUGAAUAAGCAUCGGCUAACUCCGUGCCAGCAGCCGCGGUAAUACGGAGGAUGCGAGCGUUAUCCGGAUUUAUUGGGUUUAAAGGGUGCGUAGGUGGUGAUUUAAGUCAGCGGUGAAAGUUUGUGGCUCAACCAUAAAAUUGCCGUUGAAACUGGGUUACUUGAGUGUGUUUGAGGUGGGCGGAAUUCGUGGUGUAGCGGUGAAAUGCUUAGAUAUCACGAAGAACUCCGAUUG